UACGUAGGUGGCGAGCGUUGUCCGGAUUUACUGGGCGUAAAGGGAGCGUAGGCGGACUUUUAAGUGAGAUGUGAAAUACUCGGGCUCAACUUGAGUGCUGCAUUUCAAACUGGAAGUCUAGAGUGCAGGAGAGGAGAAUGGAAUUCCUAGUGUAGCGGUGAAAUGCGUAGAGAUUAGGAAGAACACCAGUGGCGAAGGCGAUUCUCUGGACUGUGACUGACGCUGAGGCUCGAAAGCGUGGGGAGCAAAUAGG
rnacentral:rRNA from 1 species